GACGAACGCUGGCGGCGUGCUUAACACAUGCAAGUCGAACGGAAAGGCCCUGCUUUCGUGGUGCUCUAGUGUCGAACGGGGGAGUAACACGUGGGUGUUCUGCGCCUUACUUUUUGAUAAGCCUUCGAAACUCUGGCUAAUACUGGAUAUGACCGUUCUUGAUGUGUGGUGGUGGUUGGAUUGUUUUCGGGAAGGGAUGAGGUCUCGGCCUAUCAGCUUGUUGGUGUGGUAUUGGCCUACCACGGAGUCGACGGGGAGCCGGCGUGAGAGGGGGGACGGCCGCAUUGGGAGUGAGGUAAGGCCGAGAAUACUCCGGGGGGAAGCAGCGGGGAAUAAUGCACAAUGGGGGGAAGAAUGAUGAAGCGACGACGCGUGGGGGAUGACGGCGUUCGGGUUGUAAACUCCUUCCAGCCAUGACGAAGCAGCUGUGGUGACGGUAGUGGUAGAAGAAGCACCGGCUAACUACGUG
rnacentral:rRNA from 1 species